GUUGGGCACUCAUGUUCAGGGUUAAAGAAGCCAAGGAUUCAAAGGAGAAAAUGUCCCCUUUCAAAAGUGUAAAGUUGGGAAACCCAUCAUGUUUUGUCACACACACAAUUUUCCCGCCAAAGGUCGUUGGUUUUCUCCGGCCACUCCGACCUCUUCCACCAAUAAAAACUGACCACCACGAUAUCGAUUUCAUAGUGAGGAUAUCAACUUAAUGGAAAAUAAAAAUCGAUUUUGUUCCAUUUAUUUAAACUGGAAAAAAUAUAGUUCCUGUUUAAUCUAAAUCUGGAAGUUUACAAAUGUGCUACGUAUUGUCCAAA
rnacentral:lncRNA from 1 species